rnacentral:rRNA from 1 species
UGGGGAAUUUUGGACAAUGGGGGAAACCCUGAUCCAGCCAUCCCGCGUGUGCGAUGAAGGCCUUCGGGUUGUAAAGCACUUUUGGCAGGAAAGAAACGUCAUGGGUUAAUACACCGUGAAACUGACGGUACCUGCAGAAUAAGCACCGGCUAACUACGUGCCAGCAGCCGCGGUAAUACGUAGGGUGCAAGCGUUAAUCGGAAUUACUGGGCGUAAAGCGUGCGCAGGCGGUUCGGAAAGAAAGAUGUGAAAUCCCAGAGCUCAACGUUGGAACUGCAUUUUUAACUUCCGGGCUAGAGUGUGGCAGAGGGAGGUGGAAUUCCGCGUGUAGCAGUGAAAUGCGUAGAUAUUCGGAGGAACACCGAUGGCGAAGGCAGCCACCUGGGAUAAAACUGACGCUCAUGCACGAAAGCGUGGGGAGCAAACAGG